AUGGCUGAAAGGGAAGCUGUGGGGGUAGGAAAAGAAGAACCAUUAGCUAGCUCUGCAAUACAGGUUCUCGAGCUUGACAAGAUGUCCAACCGGCUGGUCGAGGCAGAGGGCGAGGUGGGGAAGGAUGAAGGAGGCAGGACCGGUGCCGCGUCGGCAGUGCGGAAGGAGCACAUGAGGUGGAGAAGGGGGCAGGGGGGUCUCACCUCUGCUGGCGAGCGAGUGAACAAGGAUGGACUGCGCGCACAGACGAGGUUGGACAACGCCAUGGUCGCAGUUGGACGGGGAAGGGGCCGCAUCUCCUUGAAAAAUUCGACGGCGGCGCCCUACUGCUACGCAACACCGGUGCCCGCAUGA
rnacentral:rRNA from 1 species